CGACGUGCCAACCGCAACGGAGGCGAGUCGCCCAACGGAGUGAGUUGGUAACUGGGGUG
rnacentral:rRNA from 1 species